CUACGGGGGGCUGCAGUGGGGAAUAUUGCACAAUGGGCGCAAGCCUGAUGCAGCCAUGCCGCGUGUAUGAAGAAGGCCUUCGGGUUGUAAAGUACUUUCAGCGGGGAGGAAGGGAGUAAAGUUAAUACCUUUGCUCAUUGACGUUACCCGCAGAAGAAGCACCGGCUAACUCCGUGCCAGCAGCCGCGGUAAUACGGAGGGUGCAAGCGUUAAUCGGAAUUACUGGGCGUAAAGCGCACGCAGGCGGUUUGUUAAGUCACUUGUAAAAGAUCUCAGCCCAACUGAGUAGGGCGAGUGAAACUGGCAGACUUGAAUACGGUAGAGGUAAGUGGAAUUCCAUGUGUAGCGGUGGAAUGCGUAGAUAUAUGGAGGAACACCAAUGGCGAAGGCAACUUACUGGGCCGGAAUUGACGCUGAGGCACGAAAGCGUGGGGAGCAAACAGGAUUAGAUACCCGGGUAGUC
rnacentral:rRNA from 1 species